UACGUAGGGUGCAAGCGUUAAUCGGAAUUACUGGGCGUAAAGCGUGCGCAGGCGGUUUUGUAAGUCUGUCGUGAAAGCCCCGGGCUCAACCUGGGAAUUGCGAUGGAGACUGCAAGGCUUGAAUCUGGCAGAGGGGGGUAGAAUUCCACGUGUAGCAGUGAAAUGCGUAGAGAUGUGGAGGAACACCGAUGUCGAAGGCAGCCCCCUGGGUCAAGAUUGACGCUCAUGCACGAAAGCGUGGGGAGCAAACAGG
rnacentral:rRNA from 1 species